UACGAAGGGGGCUAGCGUUGCUCGGAAUUACUGGGCGUAAAGCGCACGUAGGCGGUCUUUUAAGUCGGGGGUGAAAUCCUGGAGCUCAACUCCAGAACUGCCUCGAUACUGGAAGACUCGAGUCCGGGAGAGGUGAGUGGAACUGCGAGUGUAGAGGUGAAAUUCGUAGAUAUUCGCAAGAACACCAGUGGCGAAGGCGGCUCACUGGCCCGAGUACUGACGCUGAGGCACGAAAGCGUGGG
rnacentral:rRNA from 1 species